rnacentral:tRNA from 1 species
GUUAGAGCGCACCCCUGAUAAGGGUGAGGUCCCUGGUUCGAGUCCAGGAUGGCCCA